CACGUAGGGUGCAAGCGUUGUCCGGAAUCAUUGGGCGUAAAGAGCUCGUAGGCGGCUCAGUAAGUCGGGUGUGAAACCCUCAGGCUCAACCUGGGGACGCCACCCGAUACUGCUGUGGCUAGAGUCCAGUAGGGGAGUGUGGAAUUCCCGGUGUAGCGGUGAAAUGCGCAGAUAUCGGGAGGAACACCAGCGGCGAAGGCGGCACUCUGGGCUGGUACUGACGCUGAGGAGCGAAAGCGUGGGUAGCAAACAGG
rnacentral:rRNA from 1 species